AGUAACGGCGAGUGAAGCGGCAACAGCUCAAAUUUGAAAUCUGGCGCAAGCCCGAGUUGUAAUUUGUAGAGGAUGCUUCUGGGUCGCGGCCGGUCUAAGUUCCUUGGAACAGGACGUCACAGAGGGUGAGAAUCCCGUAUGUGAUCGGCUUGCACCCUCCACGUAGCUCCUUCGACGAGUCGAGUUGUUUGGGAAUGCAGCUCUAAAUGGGAGGUAAAUGUCUUCUAAAGCUAAAUACCGGCCAGAGACCGAUAGCGCACAAGUAGAGUGAUCGAAAGAUGAAAAGCACUUUGGAAAGAGAGUUAAAAAGCACGUGAAAUUGUUGAAAGGGAAGCGCAUGCAACCAGACUUGUCGGCGGUGUUCCGCCGGUCUUCUGACCGGUCUACUCGCCGCCGACAGGCCAGCAUCGUCUGGGCGCGCCGGAGAAAGGCGCCGGGAAUGUAGCUCCUCGGAGUGUUAUAGCCCGGCGCACAAUACGGCGCCGCCCGGGCGAGGUCCGCGCUUCGGCUAGGAUGCUGGCGUAAUGGUUGCCUGCGACCCGUCUUGAAACACGGACCAAGGAGUCGACCAUCUGUGCGAGUGUUCGGGUGUCAAACCCCUACGCGUAAUGAAAGUGAACGGAGGUGGGAACGCAAGUGCACCAUCGACCGAUCCUGAUGUCCUCGGAUGGAUUUGAGUAAGAGCAUAGCUGGUCGGACCCGAAAGAUGGUGAACUAUGCCUGAAUAGGGUGAAGCCAGAGGAAACUCUGGUGGAGGCUCGCAGCGGUUCUGACGUGCAAAUCGAUCGUCAAAUUUGGGUAUA
rnacentral:rRNA from 1 species